UUUACCUUUUCAUGUUCUUCCAGUAAUCUAAGAAGCGUCUGAUUGUCAGGGACAGUUUGAUUGUUCUCUUCUUCUUGCUCGAUGUCUUCGGUUGCUUCAUCGGGCUCACUCGCAUGCCGUUCUAGAGUACAAGGUACCAUGGGUGGUUCACUAUCGGCAGAAGUCUCAUUUACAUUCAAAGGAGUAUCAUCGAUUACUGGUUCACGUUCGCGUUCGAACAUUCCAGCGGAAUUUCCCAACUGUUUCAGAUCCGCUGUUAGUUGGAGAAGGCAAUACGUCAAGCACCCAAUGAAUUCCAAUUCAUGGUUUCCCGCCCCAAAUACCAACAACCU
rnacentral:misc_RNA from 1 species